rnacentral:rRNA from 1 species
AACGAACGCUGGCGGCAUGCCUAACACAUGCAAGUCGAACGAGACCUUCGGGUCUAGUGGCGCACGGGUGCGUAACGCGUGGGAACCUGCCCUUAGGUUCGGAAUAACUCCCCGAAAGGGGUGCUAAUACCGGAUAAUGUCUUCGGACCAAAGAUUUAUCGCCUUUGGAUGGGCCCGCGUUGGAUUAGCUAGUUGGUAGGGUAAAAGCCUACCAAGGCGACGAUCCAUAGCUGGUCUGAGAGGAUGAUCAGCCACACUGGGACUGAGACACGGCCCAGACUCCUACGGGAGGCGGGAGGGGGGAAUAUUGGAAAUUGGGAAAAAGCCGGAACAAGAAAGGCCGGGGGAGUGAUGAAGGCCUUGGGGUUGAAAAGCUCUUUUACCCGGAAUGAUAAUGACAGUACGGGGAAAAAAAGCCCCGGCUAACUCCGU